GUGCUCCCCCGCCAAUUCCUUUAAGUUUCAACCUUGCGGUCGUACUUCCCAAGUGGCUCGCUUCACGGCUUCCCUACGGCACCACAACAGUUCACGACUGUUGUGACACCUAGCGAGCAUCGUUUACGGCUAGGACUACCCGGGUAUCUAAUCCGGUUCGUGCCCCUAGCUUUCGUCCCUCACCGUCGGACCUGUUCUGGUAGGACGCCUUCGCCACCGGUGGUCCCCAAAGGAUUACAGGAUUUCACUCCUACCCCCUGAGUACCUCCUACCUCUCCCAGUCCCAAGCAAUGUAGUACCCCCCGGACGACCAACGGUUAAGCCGCUGGAUUUCCCGAGAGACUUGCAAAGCCGGCUACGGACCCUUUAGACUCAAUAAUAUCGGCCACCACUCGAGCCGCCGGUAUUACCGCGGCGGCUGGCACCGGUCUUGCCCGGCCCUUGCUAACACCCGCUUUUUAGGCGGGUGGACAGACCCCCAAUAUGAGGAUCACUCGAUGUUCCCCUAUCGCAGUCGCCUGCAUUGUAGAGUUUUCGCGCCUGCUGCGCCCCGUAGGGCCUGGAUUCGUGUCUCAGAAUCCAUCUCCGGGCUCUUGCUCCCACAACCCGUACUGAUUACAGGCUUGACGGUACGUUACACCGGCAACAACCUAAUCAGCCGCAGACCCAUCCAAAAGCCCCGGAAGUUUCAACCACCCACCAUUCCAGGAAGGAUGAUCUACCCGGUAUUAUCCCCAGUUUCCCGGGGUUAUCCCGGACUCUUGGGUAGGUUAUCCACGUGUUACUGAGCCGU
rnacentral:rRNA from 1 species